rnacentral:rRNA from 1 species
ACUGGUUGAUCCUGCCAGACCCAACUGCUAUCGGGUUAGAUUAAGCCAUGCAAGUCGAACGCUACAUCAUGGUGUGGCGUGGCGAACUGCUCAGUAACACGUAGUCAACCUGCCCUAUAGAAGAGGACAAUCACGGGAAACUGUGCUUAAUCCUCUAUAGGUGAUUGCCACUGGAAGGUGCUCUCACUCAAAGGGGUUUGAUACCCAUGAGUCAAACCCGCUAUAGGAUGGGACUGCGGCGGAUUAAGUUGGCGGUGGGGUGAUGGCCCACCGUGCUGAUGAUCCGUACGGGCAAUGAGUUGAAGCCCGGAGAAGGGAACUGAGACACUGUCCCUAGCCCCACGGGGCGCAGCAGGCGCGAAACCUGCACAAUGCACGAAUGUGUGAUGCGGUAAUCCCGAGUGCCACUUGUCGUGGCUUUUCUUGAGUGUAAAAAUCUCUUGGAAUAAGGAGAGGGCAAGGCUGGUGCCAGCCGCCGCGGUAAAACCAGCUCUUCGAGUGGUUGGGACUUUUACUGGGCUUAAAGCGUUCGUAGCCGGCUCGGCAAGUCUCUGGUUAAAUACGGCAGCUCAACUGUCGUGCUGCUGGAGAAACUACCGGGCUUGGAGGCGGGAAAGGUCAGAGGUACUCUACGGGAAGGGGUGAAAUCCGCUGAUCCGUAGGGGACCACCAGUGGCGAAGGCGUCUGACUGGAACGCGCUCGACGGUGAGGAACGAAAGCCAGGGGAGCAAACCGGAUUAGAUACCCGGGUAGUCCUGGCCGUAAACGAUGCCUGCUAGGUGUUGGCAUUACCUCGAGUAAUGUCAGUGCCGAAGGGAAACCGUUAAGCAGGCCGCCUGGGGAGUACGGGCGCAAGCCUGAAACUUAAAGGAAUUGGCGGGGGAGCACCACAAGGGGUGAAGCCUGCGGUUUAAUUAGACCCAACGCUCGGAAACUUACCAGGGGCGACAGCUGAAUGACAGCCAGACUGACGAUCUUGCUUGACUAGCUGAGAGGAGGUGCAUGGCCGUCGCCAGUUCGUGCCGUGAGGUGUCCAGUUAAGUCUGGCAACGAACGAAACCGGCGCCACUAGUUGCGAACAGGAACCACACGGUUUGCUGAGCACACUAAUGGGAUUGCCCCGGCUAACGCGGAUGAAAGUGCCGGCCACGGCAGGUCAGUAUGCCCCGAAUCCCCUGGGCCACACGCGGGCUGCAAUGGCGAAAACAAUGAGUCGCAACACCGAAAGGUGAAGCUAAUCUCCUAAAUUUCGUCUCAGUCGGGAUCGAGGGCUGUAACCCGCCCUCGUGAACAUGGAAUCCCUAGUAAUCGCGUGUCAUCAUCGCGCGGUGAAUACGUCCCUGCUCCUUGCACACACCGCCCGUCGCUGCACCUGAAUCGACUUGGGAUGAGCUCCGGUCUCUUUGUCCGGCGCGAAUCUUGGGUUGGUAAGGGGGCAGAAGUCGUAACAAGGUA